AUUUAAGUAGCUUAAGUGUAAAGCAUAAUAUUGAAGAUAUUAUUAUAGGUGCUAUACCUCUUAAAUA
rnacentral:tRNA from 1 species